rnacentral:rRNA from 1 species
GACGAACGCUGGCGGCGUGCUUAACACAUGCAAGUCGAGCGGUAAGGCCCUUCGGGGUACGACGAGCGGCGAACGGGUGGAGUAACACGUGGGUGACCUGCCCUCAGCUCUGGGAUAAGCCUGGGAAACCGGGUCUAAUACUGGAUAUGACUCCAUGACGCAUGUUGUGGGGUGGAAAGCCUUGUGCGGCUGAGGAUGGGCCCGCGGCCUAUCAGCUUGUUGGUGGGGUGAUGGCCUACCAAGGCGA